AGAAACCAACAGGGAUUGCCCUAGUAACGGCGAGUGAAGCGGCAACAGCUCAAAUUUGAAAUCUGGCUCUUUCAGAGUCCGAGUUGUAAUUUGCAGAGGGCGCUUUGGCUUUGGCAGCGGUCCAAGUUCCUUGGAACAGGACGUCACAGAGGGUGAGAAUCCCGUACGUGGUCGCUAGCUAUUGCCGUGUAAAGCCCCUUCGACGAGUCGAGUUGUUUGGGAAUGCAGCUCUAAAUGGGAGGUAAAUUUCUUCUAAAGCUAAAUAUUGGCCAGAGACCGAUAGCGCACAAGUAGAGUGAUCGAAAGAUGAAAAGCACUUUGGAAAGAGAGUCAAACAGCACGUGAAAUUGUUGAAAGGGAAGCGCUUGCAGCCAGACUUGCUUGCAGUUGCUCAUCCGGGCUUUUGCCCGGUGCACUCUUCUGCAGGCAGGCCAGCAUCAGUUUGGGCGGUGGGAUAAAGGUCUCUGUCACGUACCUCUCUUCGGGGAGGCCUUAUAGGGGAGACGACAUACCACCAGCCUAGACUGAGGUCCGCGCAUCUGCUAGGAUGCUGGCGUAAUGGCUGUAAGCGGCCCGUCUUGAAACACGGACCAAGGAGUCUAACAUCUAUGCGAGUGUUUGGGUGUCAAGCCCGAGCGCGUAAUGAAAGUGAACGGAGGUGGGAACCCGCAAGGGUGCACCAUCGACCGAUCCUGAAGUUUACGGAAGGAUUUGAGUAAGAGCAUGGCUGUUGGGACCCGAAAGAUGGUGAACUAUGCUUGAAUAGGGUGAAGCCAGAGGAAACUCUGGUGGAGGCUCGCAGCGGUUCUGACGUGCAAAUCGAUCGUCAAAUUUG
rnacentral:rRNA from 1 species